rnacentral:snoRNA from 2 species
CCCCUCUCAGGGUCACACUGGGAGAGCGUCCAGUACUCUACCAGUCUCGACUAUGGGAGGGAGAGUCAAGCAGAGACCUACCAUUCCAUUCCUAGCUUGGCCAGUGGCUAGUGAGUGGAAGGCAAUCUGCUCCAAGU